CAGAUAUACAUGCAGGUAAUGGAGUCUCCUGGGGCUAUACCAAGCCAUAGCAACCUUGGAAACAGGAUUCCAGACUGAAUGUUGCUACCAGCCCUUCCGGGAGCCAGGAGAAACUGGGGUGCCAGAACACAAAGGAUGGAAUUUGCAUUUGAAAGUUGGUGGGAUCCUGCUGCAUAAGAACUGAAUUAAUCUGUGUACCUAAUCCUCCUCCUUUCUCAGUUGACCAAGUAAAGAACCGCCCAAACACUGAGCUAGGACGGGCAAUGAUACUUCCCAGACCAUUAAUCCUGCUUCAAGAAUGGAAGUAAUCACCAACCUACUGUCUUGCAUUCCUCAUGAAGAAAAGACAGAAGAGAGAGAAGGAGAAACAGACAGAGUGAAGGAGGGAGGAAUGCAGGGAAGGAAGAAUUGAGGUAAGGUUUUGUGGUUGUUUUCAGGAUGAAGGAAACAUGGAUAUGUUUGUAGGCAGUAGAGAAGGA